GGAGAUUGAGGACCAAUGGUGAUUACCCAUGGAUGAUGAGUGAUUGACAACGUUGUGUUGGAAUGAUGUUGCUCUUGCCUUAUGAUGUGCAGGUGUAGGAUGCGGUGUGACGCCUGACGGCGUGCGGUGAAGGUCAAGCGAAAAGUUCAUGCCAAUGGACCAAGGGCGGUGAAGGCUGAACGAGAGUAGGUUUGGACCGAUGGACCCGAGGAGUCCGGGCGUAGUCACGGGCAGUCCACAUGGUGCACAGAGAG
rnacentral:lncRNA from 1 species